rnacentral:rRNA from 2 species
GAGUGGCGAACGGGUGAGUAACACGUGGGUAAUCUGCCCUGCANUCUGGGAUAAGCCUUGGAAACGGGGUCUAAUACCGGAUAUCACAACUUCAGGCAUCUGGGGUUGUUGAAAGUUCUGGCGGUGCAGGAUGAACCCGCGGCCUAUCAGCUUGUUGGUGGGGUAAUGGCCUACCAAGGCGACGACGGGUAGCCGGCCUGAGAGGGUGACCGGCCACACUGGGACUGAGACACGGCCCAGACUCCUACGGGAGGCAGCAGUGGGGAAUAUUGCACAAUGGGCGAAAGCCUGAUGCAGCGACGCCGCGUGAGGGAUGACGGCCUUCGGGUUGUAAACCUCUUUCGCCAGGGACGAAGCGCAAGUGACGGUACCUGGAUAAGAAGCACCGGCUAACUACGUGCCAGCAGCCGCGGUAAUACGUAGGGUGCAAGCGUUGUCCGGAAUUAUUGGGCGUAAAGAGCUCGUAGGCGGUUUGUCACGUCGGCCGUGAAAUCUCCACGCUUAACGUGGAGCGUGCGGUCGAUACGGGCAGACUUGAGUUCGGUAGGGGAGACUGGAAUUCCU